GUUAUCUUAAAUUCCUAGACACACAUACAGAAAAGGAAACAGAAGGAAAAGGGGAAAAGAAAGAAAGGGAAAAGAGAGAAGAAGGGGGAAUCGGGGAAGAAGAAGGGAAGGAAAGGGAGAAGAGCACGCCGUCACUGCACCCUGCCCGCCUGCCACCGCCGUUCCAUGGAGCCGCCGCCAUUGUCGCGCGAACCGGAGGGUGUGGAGACGGAGAAGAGUGUGCACGAGAGAGGAGUAGCCACCAUCGUCGAGGACUCCAUCACCGCCGCUGAAGGUCCUGACCGUCGAGCUCGUCGUCGCCGUCGCACCUCCCAUCACUGCUGCCAGAGAGCUCGAAGAGAAAGAAAAGGUUCGCGCGGAGAGAGAAACACGAUGAGGGAGGAGGAGGUUGCCUCUGUUGCUGCCAAGCCGUCGCUGGCGGGGUUAGGUUCGCCGUCACUGUUGAGCUGUGUGCCGCCGUUGGUAUUUGGAUCGCUACUCUGUUUCAGCUGCAACUCGCCACUGUACUGGAGCGUGAUCCAAUUGAUAGAGUGAGGAAGCUAUUAUUGGCUCAUGACAUUGCUUCUGAGAAGGAGUUGAAGGGACAAAAUUCUGCGACUUGGAAACAAAUUUUGCGGCUCUUCUAAGAGCCAAGUCCUUAGGAGUUCCUCAAUAGAUAAAGAGAGAGCAAACGAUGUUGCUGAAUAUCAGUUGUGUUACAUGUUGAUUGAGAAUGCUACUUGCUGCAGCAGGUUCUUAGUCGGUAAUGGCUUAGCUAGUGUCAACGUGUAUAGAUUUUAAACUUUUAAGUUUUUUGAGUGUGCAAAUAAUGAAUUAAUUAAUUCUAAUUUGGAUUUGAAUUUAGUUUGGUGCAUUUUAAGUUGUAAAAUGAUGCAAAGCAAUGAGUUUUACUUUUUUUUUAUUAUGUAUAUUUUUCUUUAAUCAAACUUCAGUGACACAAAAAUUUGUCUGUAAAUCAAAUUUAAUGGUAAAUGUUCAAUUAGCUUUUUU